AUUUGUGGCGAGGGGAUUUAUCCCCGCUUCUUUGGGGCUGCUGCGCAGCCCAGCGGGGAUAAAUCCCCUCGCCACAAGG
rnacentral:misc_RNA from 1 species